rnacentral:RNase_P_RNA from 1 species
UCGGCUGGACAACCGCGGUCCUAGCGUCUGUGGCCCGCCCAUUGGGGGGUUUGCGGUGCAGGGCGGAGGAAAGUCCGGGCUCCAUAGGGCAGGGUGCCAGAUAACCUCUGGGCGGCGUGAGCCGACGGAAAGUGCCACAGAAAAUAUACCGCCCGCUUCUCAGCCUCGGCUGGUGGCAGGUAAGGGUGAAAUGGUGCGGUAAGAGCGCACCGCGUUCGUGGUAAUACGAACGGCAGGGCAAACCCCACUCGGAGCAAGACCAAAUAGGAAUCCAACGGCGUUGCCCGCGCCGGAUUCGGGUAGGUCGCUUGAGGCGCGCGGUGACGCGUGCCCCAGAUGAAUGGUUGUCCUCGACAGAACCCGGCUUACAGGCCGACUCCU